GGGGGAUUAGCUCAGAUUGUAGAGUGCUAGCUUUGCAUGCGAGAAGUAGGGGGAUCGAUGCCUGCAUCCUCCA